rnacentral:rRNA from 1 species
UACGGAGAGUGCAAACGUUGUUCGGAUUCACUGGGCGUAAAGGGCACGUAGGCGGCUCGGCAAAUCGGUCGUGGAAUCCAGACGCUUACCGUCUGAACGGCGGCCGAAAAUACCGGGCUCGAGGGCGUGAGGGGUCACUGGAACUCCUGGUGAAGCGGUGAAAUGCGUAGAUAUCAGGAGGAACACCGGUGGCGAAGGCGGGUCUCUGGGCCGUAACUGACGCUGAGGAGCGAAAGCAUGGGGAGCGAACAGG